rnacentral:rRNA from 1 species
GAGUUUGAUCCUGGCUCAGAUUGAACGCUGGCGGCAUGCUUUACACAUGCAAGUCGAACGGCAGCACGGGUGCUUGCACCUGGUGGCGAGUGGCGGACGGGUGAGUAAUGCAUCGGAACGUAUCCUUAAGUGGGGGAUAACGCAUCGAAAGAUGUGCUAAUACCGCAUAAUCUCUACGGAGAAAAGCAGGGGCUCGUAAGACCUUGUGCUUUUGGAGCGGCCGAUGUCUGAUUAGCUAGUUGGUAGGGUAAAGGCUUACCAAGGCUUCGAUCAGUAGUUGGUCUGAGAGGACGACCAGCCACACUGGGACUGAGACACGGCCCAGACUCCUACGGGAGGCAGCAGUGGGGAAUUUUGGACAAUGGGGGCAACCCUGAUCCAGCCAUGCCGCGUGAGUGAAGAAGGCCUUCGGGCUGUAAAGCACUUUCAGCGAGGAGGAAAGGUUGGCGAUUAAUACUCGUCAGCUGUGACGUUACUCGCAGAAGAAGGACCGGCUAACUCCGUGCCAGCAGCACGGUA